AUUGAACGCUGGCGGCAUGCCUUACACAUGCAAGUCGAACGGUAACGGGCCUUCGGGUGCCGACGAGUGGCGAACGGGUGAGUAAUACAUCGGAACGUGCCCGAUCGUGGGGGAUAACGAGGCGAAAGCUUUGCUAAUACCGCAUACGAUCUACGGAUGAAAGCAGGGGACCGCAAGGCCUUGCGCGGACGGAGCGGCCGAUGGCAGAUUAGGUAGUUGGUGGGAUAAAAGCUUACCAAGCCGACGAUCUGUAGCUGGUCUGAGAGGAUGAUCAGCCACACUGGGACUGAGACACGGCCCAGACUCCUACGGGAGGCAGGAGUGGGGAAUUUUGGACAAUGGGCGCAAGCCUGAUCCAGCCAUGCCGCGUGCAGGAUGAAGGCCUUCGGGUUGUAAAAUGCUUUUGUACGGAAAGAAAAGCCUUCUUUUAAUACAGGAGGGUCAUGACGGUACCGUAAGAAUAAGCACCGGCUAACUACGUG
rnacentral:rRNA from 1 species